GUUCCUCCCCACUUUUUAUUAGGGUCAAAACUUG
rnacentral:sRNA from 1 species